GGGGGAUUAGCUCAGCUGGGAGAGCGCCUGCUUUGCAAGCAGGGGGUCGUCGGUUCGAUCCCGUCAUCCUCCA
rnacentral:tRNA from 3 species